rnacentral:rRNA from 1 species
GUGGGGAAUAUUGGACAAUAGGCGAAAGCCUGAUCCAGCCAUGCCGCGUGAGUGAUGAAGGCCUUAGGGUUGUAAAGCUCUUUCAGUAGGGAAGAUAAUGACGGUACCUACAGAAGAAGCCCCGGCUAACUUCGUGCCAGCAGCCGCGGUAAUACGAAGGGGGCUAGCGUUGUUCGGAUUUACUGGGCGUAAAGCGCACGUAGGCGGAUUGGUCAGUUAGAGGUGAAAUCCUGGAGCUCAACUCCAGAACUGCCUUUAAUACUGCCAGUCUAGAGUCCAGAAGAGGUGAGUGGAACUCCUAGUGUAGAGGUGGAAUUCGUAGAUAUUAGGAAGAACACCAGUGGCGAAGGCGGCUCACUGGUCUGGUACUGACGCUGAGGUGCGAAAGCGUGGGGAGCAAACAGGAUUAGAUACCCCAGUAGUCC